CAUAGCAUCUCCACAGCAUCAUCAGCAUGUCAACGUUUUUUUUGUUGUUGUUGUUUUUUUUCCAGCUUUUGCUGGACCAGUGAUGGAAGGAUGCUGAUGUUGGUGCUGAUGAUGAUGGUGAUGAUGAUGAUGGUGAUGAUGAUGAUGGUGGUGGUGGUGACUCAUCCGCAGCCUUCCACUAUAGUGUCAUGUCGCCGAUAGAAAGACACGGUUGGGCCGAUGAGGCUGCCUCAGAUUUCUCUCUUCCUGCAUGGCCACCGAGGACCCAUGCGCCUCCGGCUGCUCAGAUCUCACACCGUUUAGGGGGCCGCCUGCUGCCGUAACUAAAACAAAACCGGGCAGGUGAUUUGUCUUUUUUUUUUUUUUUUGCGGAUGUAGGUUAAAUAGGAGGUUUUUUUUUUUUUUUUUUUUUUUUUUUUUUUUUGCCAGCCUUUAAAUAUAACUUGUCAUUUUAUUGGACUCCAUACUCCAUGUCUGCUAUCCCCCUCCCUCCCAUCUUUUUUUUUUUUUUUUUCAUUUUGGAGAUAAUCUUUCCGUCUGAAAUCAAAGGGAAUCUAAAAAUGAGCCUUUAAGGGGGGAAAAAAAUGCA